ensembl:lncRNA
GCCAAAGGUGAGUCAGUACACUUCAGUAGUAGGUCUCAGUGUUUACUACAGGCCUUGUGGACAUAAGCGCCCCCGAGCAGCCGGUGAAGCUGAACAGCAUGAUCGACAUCGUCUGCAAUUCGUCCCAAAGCGAUAUGGCGGAGUGGAAACAGGCCACACACAAAGAGGUCUCUCAGAUCACCAACGGAACGGAGUCUAUUGUGACAUCACAAGGACACGGGACCACCAAACUCACACUCAAACAAACAUCUGGAAUUUGGGCAGGCCUGAUCACUUGUACCUUCGGGCCAGAAUUCAUUACCGGUGUGAAGAUACUUCACAGAGCCAGUUUCAAACUGGAUGUCGCACUUCUGCCUCAAAUCGACAUCUUCAGCGACCCCCAGUUCCCCGAAUGUGGAAAAGACUC